AUGGCAGAGGAACUGUCCGCCAAGCAUCAUCAUGCCGAGACGUCGGACAAGAGCAGAAACCUCGUCGACAUUCACGUCCCCGGCGAGAAGCGCGAGUACACAACAACCCUCAAAGGGGUUAAGCUCCACGGCAACGAGACGCUGGAGAUCGUCUGCACCAGCAUACCAGAAAAGGCUGACGAGGUGAUCUCCAGGAUAUGGAGGAAGCUUGGCAGCAAGAGUCUGAAUUGUAGGAUCGUCGGCGUUGGUGUGCACUACACCAACAAAGAUGAACCUCCCCAGAUGGCAGCAGUCCUGCAGUUUUGCAUCGACGACCUCUGCUUGGUGUACCACAUCGCAGCGGCCACAAAAUGGCGAGCAAUCCUACUCAUUUGCCCUGUAUAUGGUUUAUCUAUUUUAUUAGUACCGUAUCCUGAAAAUUUAAUCAGACUUGUUUCCCAACUAGAUGUACUAGUGUGGCCCAAGCGCCUGACCGAGAUGCUGCAGCAUGAGAAGUUGUUCACAUUUGCCGGUUUCAGCAUUGAAAGCGACAAAGAGAAGCUGAAGUUGUCCGGUAUGGAGAUCAACCCCAACAAGUUCAUCGACAUUCAGCCCAAGUGGAGAGUUCCAUACACCGGAAAAGAGUAUGACUCCUGCACUGAUGUUGCAGCCAGCUCAUCCACCCGUUCUACAAAGGCAUGA
rnacentral:rRNA from 1 species